CUGUGUCCACGACAGUUUUAGCUCCCCUCCUCAGCCACUAGAUCGAUCUGCCCUUGUUCAUCACAGCCAACUCAUAUGUCUGGUGACCACAACAGCAAUCCUUCAACCUCACCAUGGCCAGGGUUCGUGGAGAUUGUCUCGGCCGUGUUGUGCCCGUUCCUUGUUCCUCACAGGUCAGUGAAGCUCACACCAUUUACUGCUUGAACUCUACCACUAUUGGUUGCCUGGAACUAGGUGUGCAAUUUGCUCAAACAUAGGCUGUCAGAUUUCUGGAUCACAGACUUAGUGCAGAAGGCUGAAACUAGGUUUUAGUGUGUUGAGCUCAACUUUGGAGCUCUAUUGUACCCAGUCUAUUUGGUUUUGGUCCAAAGUUUUGUAGCAAGUUUGAAGACCAUAGUAAGAUUAACAAAAUUACUAAAGGGAGAUGGGAUUGGUGCUACACCAAAUUGGGAGUAAAACUUGUCCAAAUCUUCUCUGUCAGACAUAAUGAAUGCUGAUUCAGAACACAAAAAAAAUGGGGCUGCAGUGGUUUUGGCUCUACUUUGGUGCUUCAUAAAAAUUAUUCUGAAUGUUUUCAACCUAGGGGUACUAUACCAAAGUAGUAGAGCUAUAUCUAAAGAAUAACUUUGGUAAUGUGAGUUUGGUCUGUUGCUGUGUAAAAAUUGGAGAACAGGUUGGCUAAAGUUGGUCUAUCAGGAUGGACACAUAACUGAAUUUUUAUUCAGUUCUGAGAACUGAAUUGCAGCAGGAUGCCUAGUUUGGAAUUCAUUUGUGACUGAUUCAUGGGGUUUUGGAUUAAGGGUUCCAUAGCAAAGUUGUAGACCAUAGUAAAGUGAACAAGUUUGCUAAAGUGAGAUGGACCUGGUUUCACAUAAAUUUGAGAGUAAAAGUGACCAAAAGUUUGACUGUCAGGUGGUUGGUGACUUAGUCUAUUCAGAACUGAAAGUCUGAAAUCAGUAAUUUUAGUGCAGUUUUGGAGCUGUGUAGUGCCUGUUCUAGGUGGUUUUGAACCAAAGUUUCUACAGAAAGUUUGAAGAACAUGUGUUAGAUAACAACAUCCUUUAGGUGAGUUAGGGUUGAUCCCACACACAAAGUGGUGUAAAGACUGCCCAAAGAUGGACUUUCAGUUGCAGAGACUGAAUUUCAUUCAGCUGCCUAAAAACUGAAUUUGCAAUGUGUAUUUUCAGCUUGGAGUGUUAUGCCAAAGUGGAAGAGCAAUACUUAGGGAAUAGAUUUGGUUAAGUAAGUGGGUCUCUUGUCAUGUGAGUUUAUGAGAUAAAAGGCAUUGAACAGAGGGGAAAGGAAUGGAGCAAUGGAAGAUGAAUUCAGAGAACUGAAAGCAGGUUCAAUGAAUUGUGGCUUAUUCUUGGACACUAUAACUUGUAGUUCAUGCAGGUUGGAUCCUUGCUUAAGGCGUAAAUGAAGUACUUGGUUGGUUAUGGAGGCAAGGUUUCCUAGUUUGGUUGGUGAAUUGAGUUGUGAUAUUAGAGUAUUUAGCUCUCUUAAGGUUUUGUUAGUUUUUGUGUGCACCAUUAGAGUGAUGUAAGCCUUGCGAUGCUUCUUAGUAUUUUCUUUUCAAGUUGCAUAAGCAUAAACAUCCAUGAUCAUGUCAUUUCAUAUAGAACUCCUACCAGAAGGAGUGAAGAUUCAAGCUAAAGUGGUGACUGAAGAGGAAUCUACUCCAGUAGCUGCUUAUCAAGUGGAGGAGCCAUCUAACUGGGGUUUAAUAGAGGGAUCGAGUACCUCUUCACUGCAAUAAGGCAAGCCCCGGUGCAUUUACCACUUCCUUGUGUUUUUAAAAGAUUUUUAUACACUUUAAGUCUAAUGAAAUAUGCAUUAAGUUUAUAGGAGUUGCUUGAAAACUAUUGGAUGCAUUGCCUACCUUGAUAUCCAUACCUUUAUAGAUGCUUCGGAUGAAGUAUCAAAAUAUGAUUUACAAAAAUGCUUAGCCCUGCUUAGAUCUUGUGGAUAGAGGUUGUCUUUGCAAUAAUGCCUAGCUCAGGGGUUAUCCUGAGGAAGGAUGACUUCUACCUGCAAGAAUAUGUUCAUUGGGAGCAUGGUGGGAUCUUACUGCAAAGUUCCCUAUAAUGCUCUUUUCAUCCUAAGGAACACAAAACAAUCCUAAGGGUGGAAGUACUUAACUCGAGACUUGGGUUAGGAACAGGUGAUGCUCCACCCAGGUUAAUUAAGGAUUGGAUGCGUAUGUAGGCCUGUAUGAUCAAGGACUAUUUUAACUAGCCACAUGCCUUGGAUAUGGGACAGGGUAAGCUUGAACCCGGCUAUUCCAUACAUGAAAAGACAAUCGCGCACUGGGAGUGGAGAGAUGGCGAGAGUGGCACGUACCCUCCUGGCAAAGGAUCGCCUAAAAGGGGUGGUGUGCUCUCGGGUGGCGUGGACCUGUUCAUGUAGUGGAGGAUCCAUGGGAACGGUUGACAUAUGCAAGGGUUAAGUGCUACAUAUGUCUUGUGGUUAGAGAUCCUCAGCUGAGUAAAUCGAUUCGGAUCGCCGUUAUAUCCCCGGAGAGUGGAGACUUGAUCGCUGCCCUGCAACCUAAGUCAGGAUGUGAACAUUAUGAAUAAAAAUGAUGUUGUAUUGAUGAGAUGGUGAAAUUAGACUAGAUGCAACCAGAGUCUAUUAAUAUUUAAUCUGGCGUUAAAAUAUUGAAAGUAAGGACUCACUUUAGUAAGCUAUUUCUGCAAAAGUAUCUAAGUUGAUUCUUGCUAAAGCCUUUUCCUUGAUUCCUAUUUAACCAGCAUAUCCUUGAGAGUCAUUUUUCCUUAGUCGGGUAAGACUUGCGAAAGUACACUCCGUACUCAGGGUUUUCGAACCCAUGUUGUUGUAGGUGAUGAGGAGUACUCUAGGUGUUCCUAAGGCUGGAGGGCGUUUCCAGUUCUAGAGGAAGAUUAGUUAGGCUUAUGUUUAAGCUUUGGAGGGUUCCUACCUUCCUGCUAUUGUAAUAAGUUAUGCACUUUGAGUAUAUCAGGACUUGUAAUAAAUGUAACUGUUCCUAUGUAAUAACCUUCCAUUUUAGAAAUGAAAAGAAUAUUUUGUAAAGUCUUCCUCUCUUAUCUCCGAAGUGUGUAUUGAAUGCGAUUACUGUAAUAUGCAUGUAUGGUGGGAGA
rnacentral:lncRNA from 1 species